rnacentral:tRNA from 1 species
GUUUUUAUAAUUUAAUUAAAAUAUUAGUCUUGUAAACUAAAAAUAAGAAGAACUUUAAAAACA